rnacentral:rRNA from 1 species
AGUAGUUUGAUCAGUGGCUACGAGGACGAACGCUGGCGGUGUGCUUCACACAUGCAAGUCGAACGAGGUAGCAAUACCUAGUGGCGGACGGGUGAGUAACGCGUGGGAAUCUGCCUUUAGAUGGGGGAUAACGGGUCGAAAGACUCGCUAAUACCGCAUAUGACGAAAGUUGAAAGGAGUAAUCCGUCUAAAGAUGAGCCCGCGUCCGAUUAGCUAGUUGGUAGAGUAAAAGCCUACCAAGGCGACGAUCGGUAGCUGGUCUGAGAGGAUGAUCAGCCACAAUGGGACUGAGACACGGCCCAUACUCCUACGGGAGGCAGCAGUGGGGAAUUUUACGCAAUGGGCGAAAGCCUGACGUAGCGACACCGCGUGAGCGAAGAAGCCCCUUGGGGUGUAAAGCUCUGUCAGCUGGAACGAAAAAAUGACGGUACCAGCAGAGGAAGCAUCGGCUAACUACGUG